AGCAGUAGCCGCGGGAAUACGAAGGGGGCGAGCGUUGCUCGGAAUGACUGGGCGUAAAGGGCGCGUAGGUGGCGUGCACAGUCAGAUGUGAAAUUCCUGGGCUCAACCUGGGGGCUGCAUUUGAUACGUGCGUGCUAGAGUGUGGAAGAGGGUCGUGGAAUUCCCAGUGUAGAGGUGAAAUUCGUAGGUAUUGGGAAGAACACCGGUGGCGAAGGCGGCGACCUGGUCCAUUACUGACGCUGAGGCGCGAAGCGUGGGGAGCAAACAGGAUUAGAUACCCCCGUAGUCCCUGUCUCUUAUACA
rnacentral:rRNA from 1 species